rnacentral:antisense_RNA from 1 species
CUGAGUUAAAUAAUAACUGAGUGGACUUUAUUUUAAUUUGUCAUUGUUCAUGAAGACAAUCCUCAUUAGUUUUAAAUGCGAUUAGAGAACCCUCCACAGAAGCCUUUGGGAACAGAAUUAAAUUUUGUAGAGACAAGGAGUCUCACUUUGUUACCCAGGCUGGUCUCAAACUACUGGGCUUAAGCUAUCCUCCUGCUUCAGCCUCCCAAAGUGCCAGGAUUAUAGGCAUAAGCCACCAAGUCCUACCAGAAUUUGCAUUUUGGAGUAUGCACCAUUAAACAGUUUAACUCUUCAGUUGAUCUCUUUUUAAAAAUCAAUUGUUCAGCAUGUAUGGAAUCUGAUUGUGAUGUGGUCAGGGACAGAAUGGGACUAAAAUGAGAAUAACCAUGCCAGACUCUUCAGGACACAGCCUGGCUGUGGGAGGUUGUGUUUGCAUAGAGACAUACUAACUCCAAGUGGAUGGAUGACACCACUGGGACACUGUUGCUCAUGGACCACAGACAGUGGCACUGGGACCCCAAUGCUCAUGGACUAUAGAUGGUGGUGAUGGGACACCAUUGCUCAUGGCCUGCAGACAGUGCUAUGAGGACACUGAUGUUCAUGGACUACAGAUGCUGCUCUAAAGUGCUCUGCACUUUUCUCUAGUUCACUUCAUUUCCAAACGGGCCAAUUUCAAAAUUACAAUUGAAAAGAGUAACAUGAAAACAGAUACUUCCAGCCAUGCCCUUGCCUCAAGACAUCUGCCGUCUCCCUGGCCUCUGAGGCAGGAUGGGAAGACACCGCCACCCCAUUCCAUAGGUGAGGAGCUCUUUCAUGGGGUACAUAGGCAUCCCACUCCUUGCUCAGCUCAGCACAAGCUCAGCAUUGCCAGAGAGAAAAACUGGAAGACAGAGACAAACAAAACAACAACUGGUAGGUGUGUGCUCGUGAUAAAGAACAGGAAACCAGGGAACGCUGUGGGCUGCCACCCCAGAGGCUUGGUCGUCACCAAGAGUGAAGGAGGAACAACAGGGAGAGGAUGUGCACCAGAGUACCCAUCGCCAGCCUAAGCAGGAGCACAGGAACAACAGCGUUUGAUGCUUUCCUACAAGAGGCUGAAGAAGGAAACAAGUUGCUGAGGUUUUGAAGAAUAGUGGGUCGCAUUUCCCUGGAUCAGCUAAGCCCUGAACAGAUCCCUAAAGCAACUGGGCUUCUGGUCCUGUUUUACCUUCAAAGAGAAUCAAUCCUGCCUUUCCAUCCUGAACAGUCUCCUAGGCUCAAGCACUCUGAAUUUUCCUAUCAUGGCUGGAGCUAUCGAUGUGGUGCUAGUCUCACUCUCUUUGUCAACCUCUCUUGUGCAUUUAUUAAUACAAACUUAUUGUUUUUUCCUUAGUUUUUAAUGUGAUUACAUUCAUAGAUUUUUUAAAAGUUGAUCUGCUCUUGAAUUCCUGGUUUUAUUCUAUGUAAUUAUCAGUAUUUUUUUUUUCAGAAAUGGUCUCUUUUUAUUUGAAUGGCUGAUCUAGGACUCAGCCUAAACAUUAUUCUAAUAUGUAGCUGUACAUAACCAACAUGUCUAUGAUGUUAGUGAUGAACCAGAACCAACACAGAGAUGGUCUUUGCCUGAUAAAAGAUAAUCACAAUCUGAAAUAAAAUUACUAGGUAAACUACAGGAUGCCUAGUUAAAUUUGGGUAUCAGAUAAACAAUGAAACAAUUUUAGUAUUAGUAUGUCCCAUGUAAUAUUUGUACUAAAUACUUAUACUAAAUUGUGAAGGACAUCCUUAUACUAAAGAAAAGCAUUGCUUAUCUGAAAUUCACAUUUAACUGGUUGUCCUAUAUUUUUAUUUGCUAAAUUUGGCAAUCUUAAUCAUAAACAAAUAAGCAAACAAGUAUAAGUCUUAGAAAAGAAUAAGUCAACUUUUAAAUGAAUGAAUUUAGUGUUGUCAGGGAAUAAUAACAACAUGUCAGCAAACCUUGGCAACCAUUGAAAUCCCGUUUCUGAAAAUUACGGUGUAGUGUGAAGUAGAAAAUAACAAUGAUGGUUUUAACUCAUAUGAAACAGAAAAAAUUCAAAAACAAACUAGAUUUAUUGGUUUUAAGGAAAAGAAGCCAGAACAAUGACCAGAAUACUGUUCUGUUAGGUAAUUCUUCUUUUAACCACCUUCUUUAAUUACUCAGGAAAUAUUUCUGUGUUUUCCUCAACAACUGAAGUAGAUUUUCCCAUGAGUUUUAUAUUACAAAAAGUUUAGUUAAAGUUAUCAAAUCAGCUCUUACUGGCUUAAAGUUAAGUAUCUAUGGAACUUGUAUUUCCUUUGUUUUCCUUUCAAAUGUCUCCCCAAAAUGCUUGUAACUGUGUGUCCU